AUACGGGGCAGUUAUAGUCAUGU
rnacentral:miRNA from 1 species